UGGGGAAUAUUGGACAAUGGGCGCAAGCCUGAUCCAGCCAUGCCGCGUGAGUGAUGAAGGCCUUAGGGUUGUAAAGCUCUUUUAGCAGGGAAGAUAAUGACGGUACCUGCAGAAAAAGCCCCGGCUAACUUCGUGCCAGCAGCCGCGGUAAUACGAAGGGGGCUAGCGUUGCUCGGAAUUACUGGGCGUAAAGCGCACGUAGGCGGACUCUUAAGUCGGUGGUGAAAUCCUGGAGCUCAACUCCAGUACUGCCUUCGAUACUGGGAGUCUUGGGUUCGGGAGAGGUGAGUGGAACUGCGAGUGUAGAGGUGAAAUUCGUAGAUAUUCGCAAGAACACCAGUGGCGAAGGCGGCUCACUGGCCCGAUACUGACGCUGAGGUGCGAAAGCGUGGGGAGCAAACA
rnacentral:rRNA from 1 species